GUGAUGCUAGGGCACUUCACUGAAGUCCUGUGCUAAGGUGAAGCAGAUCUGGGAAAGAAGAGGUUCUCUGAGGCUCCAGUUCUUUGCUAUGACUUAUGAGACUUGGCUGUCUCUCCAUGCUAAACGUUUUGUAGACCAAAUGCAACCCUGCUGACUACCAUUCUUUAUUGUGGACAAAUUGUACUGUGUGUAUAAAUUAUAGCUUUAAGUGUGAUGGAUUCAAAGGUAUAUCACAAUGGGAUUUCUGGUAUUAAGUCUGCACAUAACGCCAAAAUUCACAGAGGACCAAAUGUGACAUCAGUGUGAAUUCCAUAUUCUCUAUCGAGUAACACUGUUCCUUGCCUUGAGAGUGGAAAAAAAAAAUACAUACAUAAAUAUUCUUUUUCCAAAAGACAGCAGGUACUGGUAUUCUUGUCCAACUGAGGAGUAUUUAUGGUAUUCACUUGUUCUCAGCUACUUUAUUUCAUCAGCACUUCAUUCCCUUUCCCUGCCUGUACCUCCUUUAGUUGCCUAAGAGACAAAGCGUAGUCAAACACAUCCAGCUGUUUUACUUCCUUUCAUCAGCCACUGGAAGAUCAUCAGAAUGACAACUUUCUCCUGUGUUUUAGAAACAUUUGUCAAAUUUGUUUGCAAAUGUCUAUCCAUAUAAAGAGAUCAAAGCAUUAGCUUGGUCCCCGAAAGCAAUGAGAGUAACACCAUGCCAACUGCAGCUGGAAUUUUGGCAGAGCAUGCCAUGAGUCCAAGGUCCUGGUGCAGGUCAUAAGCUGCUGCGAUGCAAACUGGGCUGUGUGUUGGUAGAACUGUGCCAGCUCACCUCUGUCUGGACACACAAGCCACAGAAACUAGUCUUCCACUCCAAAGUAAGAAGGUUGUGACUGUUGCUGUUCAUCCCUUGGAAAACUUCAGUAGGCUGCACCAGGGUCUCAGAAACAAGUGUUUAUGGCUGGAAAUACACUUUUAGCAGCUCAUAUGAAAACAGGAAAAUGGGAAACGGACUGAUGCAGAGCUAUUCUCUGCGGAUCUAUGAGGUGCUCCAUUUUAAAUCUUCUUCAUGAAAAUAUGGCUUCAUGAUCAGCUAACAAGUCAUAUCCAUUAGCAUCUGUCUUGCUUGAUAGCAUUUACCCAUGCGACGGCGAAGGGUGAGGUAGAGGUAAAGAAUAUUCACCAUCACUGUUCUUUGUCAACACUCCACUGCUUUCAUAUUUCUCUGCAAGAUGCAAGUAGGAAGCUAUCUCUACUCUAACAGGAAAAGUUAAGGUACUGAAUUGCUUAUACGACCUCAUCUGUGUUACUAAAUGCCUCCAGACAUUGGCAAAAUGGCAAUGAUUUUUCAGAUAUUUGUUUCUUCUUCAUUUGAGCUCCUGCAUUUCUGACUUAUUUUUGACUUUGGGCAAUGCCUAUAUUUACUAGAUAAGGGCAAAUAGAUUGCCCAUAUUUACUUUGAGUGAGAGUUUCCUUCAUGCAAUAUUUGUUCAAUAACUAACUGCAGAGAAUGUUUAAUAACUUUUUUGUUCACCAAAUUUGAUCUAAAUCUAAAUUUUUGAUUCAAUUCAAUAUUUCAGUGCCUGUUUAUCUAUGGUAUGGCAAAUGAAAAUUAUAUGGGUUAUCAGAAUCAAAGGUGAAAAACAUUUAUAGAAAGGGUAGGGCCUGAAUUGUGCAGAACUGAUUACCAAGUUGUAGUUCUAACAAGUUCAAAUAUAACCCUUGUAUAUCCCUGAAAGUAGUGCUUGAGGUUGUUCAACAAUCCUUGCAGAACAAUGCAAUGCUUUAUAUCCAAGGGUGUCUUCUCUCACCUGUUAAGUUAAACAAGUGAGAAAAACAAGAAUGAAACUAACCAUACAGGUGGGAUAACUCCUCAACUGUGGGCUUUUUGGAACAGACUUGAGACAAAGUGGUGAAGCAUCAGAUGGUGAAUGGCUGCUACCCAUGUUGCAUGAAUUCUGUGCCAAAUCACAGGACUUUGCUUGCUAGGUCUGUUGCAGGACAUGGGACUUGAUCAUAAUAUAUAAUAUUUAAUAGUAUGCUUGCAAAUAAUCUGAUAAACUGCUUUUGUGUUGCAGAUCUUUAGUUCCUAUGGUCCUCAGUAUUUUACAGGAGCGCCAACAAUGCAUGCCUGGAAAAUUAUCUGUUGAACCCUCAAUCCAGCAACCUGCUGGGAGGCAUUGCCUUCUAAAAGCUUUCCACUACCUAAGGCAUGAGCAAGAAGCUAAAACAAAGGCCCACUGAAUUCCUCAGUCAUGGGCCUCAGCCAUGGAAAAUGUGAGGUCACCAUCUGCCCUUGGGCACCCUUUAUUUCAAGGGGUGUGCUAAGCAGCCAGAAAUACAGGCUUACAAAGUACCGUAAGAUUAGUAAGUGAAAAGGUUUUUUAACUGCUGUUUUGAUUCCAUUUUGGAGUGAUUUUCACUGUCCAAGCCUUUCUUCAUCCAUUUAGCUGUUAAUGGUGACAUUUAAUGAAAUAGGAUAAAGAUCCUUCCACUAAAAUCAUGGUGGUAUACAACCAGGAUAGAAUUCAUUCCAUUCUCUGUCCUGGAAACAAGCAGGAUGGUACCAAAAUCUGUGGAAAUGCUUUUAGUUCUUUUAUUUUCCUUUAACGUUUCAUCCCAUAGUAGCAUCAUUUUCUUUCUCACUUAACAGCAGGAAUCUGAUACUUCUGCCCAGAGAGGCUGCAAGGAUUUAGUCACAGUGAAGAGCUACACUAAUAAUGGGGAACAAAACACCGGCAACAACAAAAGGAAUUCUCCUUUUUGUAUAAGGCUGUAGUUGCUUUAAAUUGGUGAACUGGUGGCUACUUUCAACUUGAACACGAUUUGACUUAUUAAAAUGCAAAAGGUCUAAUAUUACAGUUUUACUGUGAGACUGUGCCAUGAAAAGCAGAAGAUAAGCAUUCUGGCCCUUGACACAUUGCUGUAUUUCAAUGUCUUACCUGUCCUGCCUGACUGCUAAGAUAGGUCUUACCCCAGCAGAGUAUAAGGUACCUUGGUUUCCAUAAAAUACAUUUGUUUAAAAUUUGAAUUAUGUUUCCUGAAAGUUUCACAAAGCAAAAUGGGUGUUUUGUGCUUCUGUUUUUUUUCAUAGUGUUGGAUUUCAUCAUCAGUUUUCCUUGUGGUUAUCUUCAACACUAAAUAAAGUCUAAUGUCACCUGAGUCGUGUUUUGACACACUGGUUUCAGUUGAGAGACAUCAAAGUGCUUGAUUAAAUAGAAGCUCUCCUGUUGCUUCCCAAGAUGGAUAUGGAGUAUGUGAUAAAUGGCCAAUAGCUUGCCUGACAUUGUCCAAAGGCUGUAAACACUAACUGAAUCCCCAUUCUCACCUGCUGCCGGUUACUGCUUCCUGCUCUCUCCUUGUCUUACUGUAAGUAUGUAGCAACAUGAAGCAGAGUUAUGUAGGGAAUACUGGUGUUAAAAACCUCUGUCUGACUUGAUGGCAGUCAGUGGAGGCAUUUGAGGUCAGGUUGGAUGGGGGUCUGAGCAACCUGACUUAGCUGCAGGUGUCCCUGUUCAUUGCAGGGACUAGAUAACCUGUAAGGGUCCCUUCCAACUCAAACAAUUCUAUGAUUCUAUGAAUAAGGUGUCUAAAUGAAAUCCAAAAGACCUCAGUUCCAAAAGAAAGGUGUUGUGGAAUACCAUGUGCAGAGCUGGUAAAAGGUCUCCUUUACAGAUUAUCAACUGGAAGAUUUGUUGUAACAGAUGAGAUCACUGAUUUUAGAUAUCACAAUUGCAGUUUUAAAGGUGUUUCUGCUGUCUUCAGGAGUUGCACAUAAUAAAACAGGUAAGUUUAUUGUACUGAGUUUUCAGUUAAUUUUUUGAUUAAGCAGGACAAGUGGUGGUACAGAGUCAGUUCUGAGACACAGUAGUUAAAUUUAGCCUUCUUCUUCCAGGAUGUCGUUUUGCAAACCAUUUUGGAACACCUUAAAUUUGAGGUGAGUUACGACUUCCUUUAUAAUAAAAUGGUGACUAAAAUUAUUUUUAUAUAAACAAGGAAGGGCACGUGGGUGGUAUGAUGGCAGAGGCCAUCCUGGCCAUCUUCAUGAUGGCUAUGUUCAGGAUGGCCAGAAGGCAGACUUUGGCUUCUUUAGAGACCUGGUUGAUAGAGUCCGUUGGGAGGAAGUUCUGAAAGGCAAAGAAUUUGGGAAGGUUGGAUAUUCUUCAAGAAUGAAUCUUAAAAGUGAAGAACCAGGACAUUCCAAAGUGCCCAAAGUUGAGCCAGCAGGGAAUUAGAGGAAGCUGGCUGAACAGAGAGCUUCUUUGAGAGCUAAGAAGGAGCAGGCAAAAAUUCAUGAUGCACAAGUGUUUGGGUUUUUCAUUGUUAUUAUAAAGUGCUUUCUUUUAAAUCUAUUUUAGCAUAUUACAGAGUCCUUUCACAAGAUCGGUAUUUGUGAAAAGAAAGCUUAUCAUCUGAAGACUUUGAUGCUAUAAUACGUUAUGUAACAAAUACCACAGUGUCAAAAUCUCCUUGUGCCUAUGAUGUGCUACUUAUUGCUCUCACCUGUAGCGCUCCAGUUCAUGAUGGCAGCAAAGGGGCAAUUUGACAAAAAGAUGUCUGAAGCGAAGGUGUGUCGCUGAAUUCCUCCAUGUAGAAGCAACUGCACUCAUUGAUGUUUAUUGAUGCUUGCUGAACGUUUAUGGAGACUUAACAGUGGAUGUGAGCACAGUGAGGAGGUGGGUGGUGCAUUUCAUCAGUGGU
rnacentral:lncRNA from 1 species